rnacentral:rRNA from 1 species
GCCAACGGCUAUACCACGUUGAAAGCACCAGUUCUCGUCCGAUCACCGAGGCUAAGCAACGUCGGGCGUAGUUGGUACUUAGAUGGGAGACCCCUUGGGCACACUGCAUGCUGUUGGCU